GACGAACGCUGGCGGCGUGCUUAACACAUGCAAGUCGAACGGAAAGGCCUUUUCGGAGGUACUCGAGUGGCGAACGGGUGAGUAACACGUGGGUGAUCUGCCCUGCACUCUGGGAUAAGCCUGGGAAACUGGGUCUAAUACCGGAUAGGACCGCACUUUAGUGUGUGUGGUGGAAAGUUUUUUCGGUGUAGGAUGAGCCCGCAGCCUAUCAGCUUGUUGGUGGGGUAAUGGCCUACCAAGGCGGCGACGGGUAGCCGGACUGAGAGGUUGGUCGGCCACAUUGGGACUGAGAUACGGCCCAGACUCCUACGGGAGGCAGCAGUGGGGAAUAUUGCACAAUGGGCGCAAGCCUGAUGCAGCGACGCCGCGUGGGGGAUGACGGCCUUCGGGUUGUAAACUCCUUUCGCCAGGGACGAAGCGUUUUGUGACGGUACCUGGAGAAGAAGCACCGGCUAACUACGU
rnacentral:rRNA from 1 species